ensembl:misc_RNA Metazoa_SRP Metazoan signal recognition particle RNA
GCCGGGCGUGGUGGCACACGCCUGUAAUCCCAGCUACUUGGGAGGCUGAGGCAGGACAGUUGCUUGAACCCAGGAGGCGGAGGUUGCAGUGAGCCAAGAUGGCACCACUGCACUCCAGCCUGGGUGACAGAGCAAGACUCUGUCUCAA